rnacentral:piRNA from 1 species
UGGAUAAGGACAGGUGGAAGCAAUGGU